rnacentral:rRNA from 1 species
AGUGAACGCUGGCGGUAGGCCUAACACAUGCAAGUCGAACGGCAGCACAGUAAGAGCUUGCUCUUACGGGUGGCGAGUGGCGGACGGGUGAGGAAUACAUCGGAACCUACUUUUUCGUGGGGGAUAACGUAGGGAAACUUACGCUAAUACCGCAUACGACCUACGGGUGAAAGUAGGGGAUCUUCGGACCUUGCGCGAUUGAAUGAGCCGAUGUCGGAUUAGCUAGUUGGCGGGGUAAAGGCCCACCAAGGCGACGAUCCGUAGCUGGUCUGAGAGGAUGAUCAGCCACACUGGAACUGAGACACGGUCCAGACUCCUACGGGAGGCAGCAGUGGGGAAUAUUGGACAAUGGGCGCAAGCCUGAUCCAGCCAUACCGCGUGGGUGAAGAAGGCCUUCGGGUUGUAAAGCCCUUUUGUUGGGAAAGAAAAGCAGCAGGUUAAUACCCCGCUGUUCUGACGGUACCCAAAGAAUAAGCACCGGCUAACUUCGUG